AAAAAUCUGAAAUUAAAAGAAAAAUAUAUAUACAUUCGAAAUUAAAAAAAAUGAAUUGAAAAAAAAAGGUGUAGUGAUUCAAGUGCUGAAAAUUGGAAAGUGUUUCCGAGUUUGUAAGUCUGGUAUUCUUGCCUACUCAUUUCCUAUUCUUUCUACACCACACUUAGCUUAAACCUUCAUUGUUUCUUAGCCUACCCAUAACCUAACGUCA
rnacentral:lncRNA from 1 species